rnacentral:rRNA from 1 species
GGUGAACGUUGGCGGUGCGUCUAAUACAUGCAAGUCGAGCGAGGCUUCGAGCCGAGCGGCGGACGGCUGAGUAACACGUUGGUAGCUACCUCAAACUCAGGGAUAACUAUGAGAAAUCAUAGCUAAUACCGGAUGGUCCCGUAAGGGUAAAGAUUUAUCGGUUUGAGAGGUGCCUGCGUCCUAUCAGGUAGUUGGUGAGGUAAUGGCUCACCAAGCCUAUGACGGGUAACUGGUCUGAGAGGAUGGCCAGUCAGAGGGUAACUGAGACACGGUUCCCACUUCUACGGGAGGCAGCAGUAGGGAAUAUUGGACAAUGGGCGCAAGCCUGAUCCAGCAAUACCACGUGAGUGAUGAAGGUCUUCGGAUUGUAAAGCUCUUUUAGUAGGGAAGAUAAUGACGGUACCUACAGAAAAAGCACCGGCUAACUUCGUGCCAGCAGCCGCCGUAA